rnacentral:tRNA from 1 species
GGGCGUUUGGCACAGUGGUAGCGCGCACGCUUCGCAUCGUCUCAUCGGGCCAUUGCGUGAGGUCGAGGGUUCAAGUCCCUCAUCGUCCA